GACGAACGCUGGCGGCGUGCCUAACACAUGCAAGUCGAGCGGAGUCAGUAAGAGGAAGUUUUCGGAUGGAAUCUUAUUGAUUUAGCGGCGGACGGGUGAGUAACGCGUGAGCGACCAACCUUGCACAGGGGGAUAACGGACCGAAAGGUUCACUAAUACCGCAUGAGACCACGGUGUUGCAUGACACAGAGGUCAAAGGAGCAAUCCGGUGCAAGACGGGCUCGCGUCCGAUUAGGUAGUUGGAGGGGUAACGGGCCACCAAGCCUAUGCUCGGUAGCCGACCUGAGAGGGUGAUCGGCCACAUUGGAACUGAGAUACGGUCCAAACUCCUACGGGAGGCAGCAGUGGGGAAUAUUGGGCAAUGGGGGAAACCCUGACCCAGCAACGCCGCGUGAAGGAAGAAGGUUUUCGGAUUGUAAACUUCUGUCCUUGGUGAAGAGAAGAAGACGGUAGCCAAGGAGGAAGCCCCGGCUAACUACGUGCCAGCAGCCGCAGUAA
rnacentral:rRNA from 1 species